AUAGAGACUCAGAGCUGCAUAUCAAUAAGCGGAGGAAAAGAAACUAACUAGGAUUCCCUUAGUAACGGCGAGUGAAGCGGGAAGAGCUCAAAUUUGAAAUCUUCAAGGUUUUACCUUGACGAAUUGUAGUUUAAAGAAGUGUUUUCUGUUGGUGUUUUGGUAAAAGUUCUUUGGAAUAGGACAUUAUAGAGGGUGAGAAUCCCGUAUUUGACCAUUACUUCCAGCGUUGUGAUACACUUUCAAAGAGUCGGAUUGUUUGGGAAUGCAGUCCAAAAUGGGUGGUAAAUUUCAUCUAAAGCUAAAUAUUGGCGAGAGACCGAUAGCGAACAAGUACCGUGAGGGAAAGAUGAAAAGAACUUUGAAAAGAGAGUUAAACAGUACGUGAAAUUGUCAAAAGGGAAGCGUUUGACACCAGUGUUGUUUUCCUCGAAAAUCAAUUAAAAAGUGUUGGAUUUUGUAUUGUUAAGACCUUAUCAGCUUACUGUACUCUUUUCCUGCUCUUUUUAAUGCACUUUCCGUUUAACAAGUCAACAUCAAUUUCUUUUGUUGUAAAAGAGUCAUUGGAAGGUGGCUUUCACUUCGGUGAAAGUGUUUAUAGCCUUUGGCUUCUGCAAUCGGAGAGACUUGAGGUCUGCAGCGUAGAUCCUUCGGGGUUAGAUACAUUUGUGCUAAGCUAUAGCCUUGUAUAGACAACUUGUUGACUAUGUUUAGUCAUGCGGCUUACUCGCUUAUGCUAUUUUACCUACGCUUAGGAUGUUGAAGUCAUCGUAUCGCGC
rnacentral:rRNA from 1 species